rnacentral:rRNA from 1 species
UACAGAGGUCCCAAGCGUUGUCCGGAUUUAUUGGGCGUAAAGCGCGUGUAGGUGGCCAUGUAGGUCCGCUGUGAAAGUCAAAGGCUCAACCUUUGAAUGCCGAUGGAUACUGCGAAGCUAGAGUACGGAAGAGGCGAGUGGAAUUCCUGGUGUAGCGGUGGAAUGCGCAGAUAUCAGGAGGAACACCAAUAGCGAAGGCAGCUCGCUGGGACGUUACUGACACUAAGGCGCGAAAGCGUGGGGAGCGAACAGG